rnacentral:lncRNA from 1 species
GGGGGGAGCAUUAUUUAAUGAUUGCCAUACAGAGUUGGAUAAGGCUCAUUCUUAAAAUCUGUAUUGAUAAUUUUUUUUUGGACGCCUUCCUUCAACGUAGGAAGGCGUAACAGCAAAAUAAAAAAUAGCCUUUCUAGACGGCAUAAUUAUUUGGACUACUAUGACUUCUAAACAUUUUAUAGCCUCGAAGUUAAAACAUCGUUUAAACCGGUCUAUUUAGAUCGAGCUUCAAUAAAAAAUAAUCCUAACCAAAUUAUAAACACAAAUGAUGCUUACCCUGCUUUAAUUUAAGAACCAAAUAUGCCUUACGAAUAAUGAAAUAUAUGAUUUUGUAAUGUAGAUACCUCUAAUUUCCGUCAUUUUCCUAUGGCUAUGUUCUAGAUGCAUACUUGGGCUGGCUCCCUGCAGGAAGGGCAGAAGUCUGUUCCUGCCGUCUUGUCAUAAUUAAACAAAGUCAUAACAUUUGCUUUCAGUCUUAUUCUGAUUUGGUGUGAAUGGCAUGAACAAGGCAAUCCUUGCAUCAAUAACAAAUUGAUCAAAAUCAAAGUGUUUGGGGUCAUAAUCUGGAAUGCUCCGUUGAACGAAAUUUAAUUUGCUUCUUCACCUUUCGUGUCCAAAUCUUUCGUCUUUGUUGGUCUUUCGGAAAUGUAAACAAACAUAAUCCCUGACCUGAUCAAGUAUUACAGUUGUAUGCAACACAAAACACCAUAGCCGGUUAACGUUGUUUGCAAUUUUACGUUCUAACACAUGUAUUCG